UCCCUUGCCUAUUCUACUCAACCAGUUUCGUUUUAGCAAUUCACCAAAUUUUCAUGAGCAUUAAACUGCAUAAGAUUUCAUUUUUUAUAAGCAUGAUAAAAAAAAAAAUGUGAACUUUACUUGAUGAUGCAUACAGUAUAAAUUCAUGUACUGCUUUUACAAUGGAUCCAUAAAAAGGGAAAUAGAGAAAUGUUUUGUAUGCUAUAUGAAUCAAACUUGAGUCUUGAGCUUUGUCGGGUGUGGGCUGUAUGGUUGUAAGUGUAGAGUCUGGCAGGGGAGUAAUGGCGGUGGCAGAUGCGGUCGGCGGCGGUGGUUCUCCUGCUGCUGUCGGCCGGAAUGGUGAGGGAGAGGCGGCCAUGGCAGCCGCUGUGGUCGCCGGAUAUUGAAGGGAAGGGUGUCGGUAUGGGGGGUCAGUCGGGGGAGGCUUAGCCUAGAGCUUCAGGCGGCGGCGUCCGUCGUCGUCAAGGAGGAGAGGGAGCAGGGGGAGUGACAGGGGGGUUCGAGGGAGAAGUAGCCGGAGCGGCGCUCGUCGCCGGGCACGAUGGAGUAGCAGCGGCAAUGGGGUCUGGCGGAAGUCAGAGAGAAGGGGGAUAGGGCACGGCGGCUCUGCCGCUACCUUCCAACCACGGUGAGAGAGAGAUGGACGGAGGCGGUGAUCCUCUGUUUUGAACCGAGAGAAGGGAGAACCGAGGGGCAGUGGUUGUCGCCGCUCGCUCCGGCGAGCGUCCGCGGCGAGAGAGUAGUCGAGAGAGGUGAGGAAGAAAGAGAGAGCAAGGGCGAGGGAUAGGGAAGUCAGGGAUGGCGGCGGCGGCGGCCGGCGCUGCUACCGUCCGCCGGAGGAGAGAAGAAGGCGAGGAGGGGAAGGCUGCUACGCAGCAGCAGCAGCUGCAUGUGUGUGUGUGUUUCUGAAUGUGUGUGUGCGUGUGUUUGAUAUGGGAAAGGGGGGAGGAGAAAUGGGCUAGGGCUUAGCUUAGGAUUGGGCCAUGGGAGUUGGGCCGAUUUUUAUCUAAAAUGGGCUGGGAAAAUUUAAAAAAAAAACCUUGAGUUGACUAUUAAUUGAAUUAUUGAGCCCAAUCCAUUUUUUAUUUAGUUAAGCUAUGCAGAUUUGUUUUUUUUAAAUGGACUGCACUAUUAAAUUAAUUAGACUUCUUUAAGUUUGAUUAAUUAUUUUUUUUAAUUUUCAUAAUAAUAUUAAAUUAUUAUUAUACGCAUAUUUUAAGUAAUUUCUUAUUAUAUGCCAAGCAUGACAUGAAUUUGCAUUAUAUUUUUGCAAUAAGAGUAUUUAAGAUUUAAUUGGUUUUAUUUAUAAUUCCAAUUAUUAAAGAAAGAUGAGUAAGAAUAUUGUUGGUGUUCUUAACUCAAGAGAAAUGUUUUCAAUUAUUUAUUCAUUAAAGUUUAAAAACCCGGCUAAGUGAAUCAUAGAAUAUUAAGCACUACACCAUGACUUAAGAUUAGCUUCACGAGACCUAUUAAGAAUAGAAUUUCUUGUAGGCUUUGUGACCAGGGGAUUAGCGCUGCUUUCCCAAGACAGGUUUAUAUGUGAUUAUGAUCUUCAGGCUUUGCCUAACCAGGUUGGCUGGCUGGUGCUGACGGGACGGAGCUGAGGCUAGAGUUAAAAUUCAUAUGUUAGACUUCCGCUGUAGCAAUUACUCUUAUACAUCUUUUGUUUUCUCAACUUAAGAUGACUUCAUGUCGAGCUUAAAUUUGAAAUUCUAGUUUUAUGCUAAUGAAUGUUGGUUGUCAGAAACAUGAAACAAAACUUGUGAUCCAAAGGGGCAUAGCCCGACUUUCUAUCC